rnacentral:rRNA from 1 species
AGUGAACGCUGGCGGUAGGCCUAACACAUGCAAGUCGAACGGGAGCACAGUAACAGCUUGCUCUUACGGGUGUCGAGUGGCGGACGGGUGAGUAAUACAUCGGAAUCUACUUUUUCGUGGGUGAUAACGUAGGGAAACGUACGCUAAUACCGCAUACGUCCUACGUGUGAAAGCAGGGGAUGUUCUAACCUUUCGCGAUUGUAAGAGCCGAUGUCGGAGUAGCUAGAUGGCGGGGUAAAGGCGCAAAACGGCGACGAUCCGUAGCUGGUCUGAGAGGAAGAUCCGCCACACGGGAACUGAGACACGGUCCAGACUCCUACACGAGGCAGCAGUGGGGAAUAUUGCACGAUGGGCGCGAGCCUGAUACAGCAAUACCGCGUGAGUGAAGAAGGACUUAGGGUUGUAAAGCCCUUUUGUUGGGAGAGAAAAACAGCAGGUUAAUACCCCGCUAUUAUGACGGUACCCAAAGAAUAAGCACCGGCUAACUUCGUG